AUCGUUUAUUUCCAUCCCCACCUCCCUUAUCUCCCGCGCUCUCCUCUUUCCCACCAUCAGCCUCCACCACCACCAUGGCUGCCCUCGGCAUCACCUCCCCGCCGGCGCCGUCCGCCUUCGCGUCCGCAACAUCUUCCCGCUCCCACUCUUCACCCUCCACCCCCCGCCUCCGCCUCCGCUCCCUCCCCACCCGAUUCGCGGCUGCGGCGUCGUUCCGCGCGCGGUGCGCCGCCGCCGCCGCCGCAGCCGGCGGCGCUGCAGGCUCCGAGGGCGCCGCCGCGGUGGCGGAGGUGGAUGAAGCGGGCACCGAGGUCGCCGGGGGCGCCGCAACCUCCACGCGGCCGCCCUACUCGCUCAUCUCCGCGGAGAAUGUGCAGAAGGCGAUGCGUGGCCUAGCUAUUACAGAUGCUGAUCACUAUGGGAGGCUUGGAGUCACAAGACUAGCUUCUACUGAUGAGGUAACCGCUGCCUAUGAGAAAAAAUGUGAAGAACUAAAUAGCAAAAAACUGGAAGAAGAGGAGCUCAACAAGGAACUUGACCUCCUAAAGGAAUCAUUUACCAUACUAUCAACUGAGGAAGAGCGAAGAUUAUAUGAUUGGAGCAUGUCCAGAAGUGGGCAACCUGAGCGAUAUGUCUGGCCUUUUCAAGUAGAUCCCUUGGAGCCGGCACCAGAUCCUCCCCAGGAACCUGAAGACGAGGUCCCGACAAAGCUCGUUGGCUACUUCUUCCUGGCGUGGUUCAUACUCUCUGUUGUGUUCUCGGUGACCCUCAACAGAUGAGGGACCUCUCGCCCCCUGCAAAAGAUGAACUGCAACCCCAAUACCGUAUAUCUUCCCUGUAUGAAUGCUGUAAAUGAUAAGCAUACUGUUACAUGGUAAAAUUUAACUGGAGCACAUAGCUGCACAUUCUGUACAGAUCAGGCUCAUGAAUCCUGAGUCCUUCGGUCACCUGAAGGUGAAGCGCUCCCAAAAUUUCUAA